UGUUGCGUUUAUACUUUUAAAUAAAACUGCUGAUGACUUCGGAUUCCUUUUAUUGUAACGUGGACGCGACAUUUACUAUUAAAGUUAAGUGUGGGAGAGGGACGGCGGACAGUUGACAAGACAUAGACUAUAUACAAUAUUUUUAUACUAUGUAACAGUACUGAGAUGUAUGUACGACGCAACGACGAUGACCAUUCAUGUCCAGGACCAGAGAACAAGACCUAUUUCCCUGUGGCGUGGGGUAAGACAGCAAGA
rnacentral:misc_RNA from 1 species